rnacentral:rRNA from 1 species
AUGUCGUAGUCCGGAUUGGAGUCUGCAACUCGACUCCAUGAAGUCGGAAUCGCUAGUAAUCGUGGAUCAGAAUGCCACGGUGAAUACGUUCCCGGGCCUUGUACACACCGCCCGUCACACCAUGGGAGUGGGUUGCAAAAGAAGUAGGUAGCUUAACCUUCGGGAGGGCGCUUACCACUUUGUGAUUCAUGACUGGGGUGAAGUCGUAACAAGGUAACCGUAGGGGAACCUGCGGUUGGAUCACCUCCUUACCUUAAAGAA